rnacentral:rRNA from 1 species
UGACGGCCUUCGGGUUGUAAACCUCUUUCACCAUUGGCGAAGUCGGUAGCUUUUGUUGCCGGUGACGGUAGGUGGAGAAGAAGCACCGGCCAACUACGUGC